UACGUAGGGUGCGAGCGUUGUCCGGAAUUAUUGGGCGUAAAGAGCUUGUAGGCGGUCUGUCGCGUCUGCUGUGAAAAUCCGGGGCUCAACCCCGGACUUGCAGUGGGUACGGGCAGACUAGAGUGUGGUAGGGGUGACUGGAAUUCCUGGUGUAGCGGUGAAAUGCGCAGAUAUCAGGAGGAACACCGAUGGCGAAGGCAGGUCUCUGGGCCACUACUGACGCUGAGAAGCGAAAGCGUGGGGAGCGAACAGG
rnacentral:rRNA from 1 species